rnacentral:rRNA from 1 species
UAGAGUUUGAGUCCUCGGCUACAGGACGAACGCUGGCGGCGUGCUUAACACAUGCAAGUCGAACGGUAAAGGCCUGCUUCCCUUGUGGAUUGCGGGUGCUCGAGUGGCGAACGGGUGAGUAACACGUGAGUGAUCUGCCCCAACUUGGGUAUAAGCCUGGGAAACUGGGUCUAAUUCCCGAUAGGACUGCAGGGUGGUGCCUGUGGUGGAAAACGAUUUUCUAGUGGUUGGGGAUGAGCUCGCGGCCUAUCAGCUUGUUGGUGGGGUAAUGGCCUACCAAGGCGGCGACGGGUAGCCGGCCUGAGAGGGUGGACGGCCACAUUGGGACUGAGAUACGGCCCAGACUCCUACGGGAGGCAGCAGUGGGGAAUAUUGCACAAUGGGCGGAAGCCUGAUGCAGCGACGCCGCGUGGGGGAUGACGGCCUUCGGGCUGUAAACUCCUUUCGACCGCGAGGAAGCCGCCUGGUUGGAAGGGUGGUGACGGUAGUGGUAGAAGAAGCACCGGCUAACUACGUG